AUUGGGUUGAGUCCAUUGGGUUGAGUCCGCAGAGUCCAUUGGGUUGAGUCCGCAGAGUCCAUUGGGUUGAGUCCGCAGAGUCCAUUGGGUUGAGUCCGCAGAGUCCAUUGGGUUGAGUCCGCAGAGUCCAUUGGGUUGAGUCCAUUGGGUUGAGUCUGCAGAGUCCAUUGGGUUGAGUCUGUAGAGUCCAUUGGGUUGAGCCUCCUGCUGGCUACAGGUGGAAUCCAUUGGGUUGAGCUUCCUGCUGGCUACGGGUGAAGUCCAUUGGGUUGAGUCUGUAGAAUUCAUUAGAUUCAAUAUCCUACUGGUUUUAAGCAGAGUACAUUGGGUUGAGUCUGUAGAGACCGACCGUUGGGUUGAGUCUCCUGCUGGCUGCAGGUAGAGUCCAUUAGGGUGAGUCUUCAGCUGGCUACAGGUGGAGUGCAUUGGGUUGAGCCUCCUGCUGGCUACAUGUGAAAUCCAUUGGGUUGAGCCUCCUGCUGGCUACAGGUGGAAUCCAUUGGGUUGAGCUUGCUGCUGGCUACGGGUAGAGUCCAUUGGGUUGAGUCUGUAGAAUUCAUUGGGUUGAGUCUGUAGAGAUCGUUGGGUUGAGUCUCCUGCUGGCUACAGGUACAGUCCAUUGGGUUGAGUCUGUAGAAUUCAUUGGGUUGAGAAUGUAGAGACCGUUGGGUUGAGUCUCCUGCUGGCUACAGGUACAGUCCAUUGGGUUGAGUCUGUAGAGAUCAUUGGGUUGAGUCUCCUGCUGGCUAUAGGUGCAGUCCAUUGGGUUGAGUCUGUAGAGAUCGUUGGGUUGAGUCUCCUGCUGGCUACAGGUACAGUCCAUUGGGUUGAGUCUGUAGAAUUCAUUGGGUUGGGUCUCCUGUUGGUUAUAAGUAGAGUCUUUGGGUUGAGUCCAGUAGAGGUUGGUGUAAAAAACAUAUCGGAGGUGGCAAACAAUAUGAGCCCCCCUGCCCCGUCAGUAGCACUUACCCCAUCACUGGUGGCUUCCCCUGCUUGGCGGCAGCCUCCCGUUCUCCUGCUUUCCACGGGUCAUCACGACGUUGCCGGCUUCUGUUUCCUCCCUCCUCGCUGGCCAAGCGGGAGUCUUCUCUUUUCGGCCAAUUGGAAAACAGGUCUCACACCUGCUUCUGAUUGGCCGGGUUGAGGACCAGUGUUUCAACUGCGAAACUUAAUUUGCUGCUGUACCACACCUGGGUGGGACAGGAACACAUUCUCUGUGACCCGAGCCCACCCUAUAUGGAAGCCUAUUAAAGCAUGAAUAGGGGACGGCUGCGGCGGCCAUGGAUAGAUUCAUGCUAUGCAUGAAUCUUUCCAUUGCAUAUAGAAGGUGGCAGGGAGAGAGGGGUGGCGGUGCCCCUAAUGGAAGGGCCGCCACUGGUUGAGUCUCCUGCUGGCUACAAGUGGAGUCAAUGGGGUUGAGUCUCCUGCUGGCUACAGGUAGGUUGGGUUGAGUCUUCAGCUGGCUACAGAUAGAGUCCAUUGGGUGGAGUCUUCAGAUGGCUACAGGUAGAGUCCAUUUGGUUGGGUCUUCGGCUGGCUACAGUUAGAGUCCAUUGGGUUGAGUCUUCAGGUGUCUACAGGUAGAGUCCAUUGGGUUGAGUCUUCAGGUGUCUACAGGUAGAGUCCAUUGGGUUGAGUCUUCAGGUGUCUACAGGUAGAGUCCUUUGGGUUGAGUCUUCAGCUGGCUACAGGUAGAGUCCAUUGGGUUGAGUCUUCAGCUGGCUACAGGUAAAGUCCAUUGGGUUGGGUCUUCAGCUGGCUACAGGUAGAGUCCAUUGGGUUGAGUCUUCAGGUGGCUACAGGUAGAGUCCAUUGGGUUGAGUCUUCAGCUGGCUACAGGUAGAGUCCAUUGGUUUGAGUCUUCAGCUGGCUACAGGUAGAGUCCAUUGGGUUGAGUCUUCAGGUGGCUACAGGUAGAGUCCAUUGGGUUGAGUCUUCAGGUGGCUACAGGUAGAGUCCAUUAGGUUGAGUCUUCAGCUGGCUACAGGUAGAGUCCAUUGGGUUGAGCCUCCUGCUGGCUAGAGGUGGAGCCCAUUGGGUUGAGUCUUCAGCUGGCUACAGGUGGAGCCCAUUGGGUUGAGUCUUUAGGUGGCUACAGGUAGAGUCCAUUGGGUUGAGUCUUCAGCUGGCUACAGGUGGAGUCCAUUAGGGUCGAGUCGUCAGAUGGCUACAGGUAGAGUCCAUUGGGUUGAGUCUCCUGCUGGCUACAGGUGGAGUCCAUUGGGUUGAGUCUUCAGCUGGCUACAGGUAGAGUCCAUUAGGGUCGAGUCGUCAGCUGGCUACAGGUGGAGUCCAUUAGGGUCGAGUCGUCAGCUGGCUACAGGUAGAGUCCAUUGGGUUGAGUCUUCAGCUGGCUACAGGUAGAGUCCAUUGGGAUGAGUCUUCAGGUGGCUACAGGUAGAGUCCAUUGGGUUGAGUCUUCAGGUGGCUACAGGUAGAGUCCAUUGGGUUGAGUCUUCAGGUGGCUACAGGUAGAGUUCAUUGGGUUGAGUCUUCAGGUGGCUACAGGUAGAGUCCAUUGGGUUGAGUCUUCAGGUGGCUACAGGUAGAGUCCAUUGGGUUGAGUCUGUAGCUGGCUACAGGUAGAGUCCGUUGGGUUUAUUCUUCUGCUGUCUACAGGUGGAGUUCAUUGUAUCUAGUCUUCUGCUAGAGUCUUCUUUGUGGGGGUUCUUCAGGCUCUUGUGGUGAGAUCUGUCUAUUUCCGUUCUACCUUUCUUCCCGUCAGUAUUUUUUUUCUCUUUUUGUAUUUUCCACGAUAAAAAAAGUAAAUCCAGCUAAUAGAAUGGGAACCCCUCGUAUGGGUAGGUAGACCCAGGAGCUCUGGAGAUAGAGCCCACUGGCCUGAGUUUCCUGCUGGAUUCCUUUAUCUUCUUGGAGAUUCUGUUGGUGAGGUCUGUCUACUACAGUUCCUGUCUAUCUUCCUGCCAACACGUGCCCCAUGUCGACCCCGAAACUCUGGAGAUAGAAUCAUACCAGAGUUAGGCAAAAAAAAUGUGCAAUAUCCAAUCAGGAUUUGUCUUUUCCCAAUGAACUUUUGUGUAAUUUGCUAUCUACGUCUGCAUGUCAUUGCUCUUAUUUUGUUUAUUUAUAUAUAUUUUUUGUUGUAUUGAAGGAGCUGGGUUUUCAUUGGUCCAGCCAAUGUAUAAUAAAAGUGAUGUCAUGUUUGUGCUUCAGUUAUACAAGCUUUGAUUUGAUUUCAGUCUGUUAUAUUGUAUGUUAUUCAGUCCGUGUCUGUAAAAUAAACAGGAAAGCUCUACGCUUGC